CGAGUUCUGCUGGCUACUGCUAUCACUGCUACCAGAGCGUCGUCGUCGUCUCCUGCCUUUUAUCAGGACGCUCCGAUACACCUGCAGGGAAGCAGAGGAGCAUAACAAAGGAAGUGUGAUUAGAUGUGCAGCUACAGCCUUGAAGAAAUUGACACCUUUUAAGCAGCUGUUGGCCAAAUACAUUAUCUACUUCACAACUUGAUGCCUGCAUUGUUUAUCUACUCUAUAGAUAAUAAGAUGCUGCCUGCAUAAAGAAAAAUACUCUUCGGGUGUGCGUCUCAGUAGACAAGGUGUACAUAUUAACUGUAAAAUUGAAUUUUUCACUUCUAAGUAGGUAAGUAUUUUAAAAUUAAAGUGAAGACAUAUUGACAUAUAAACUAAAUGACUGGAAGGUACCUUUCUAAAGAAGAGCGACAGUGAACCCAUCUUCCGGGGCCUAAUGGUGGUGGUAGCGGCAAAUUGCUGGUUUUGUCUUUGCUCUCCAGAAGAGAUCUGCUGAACUGUUACUUGGCCUGGUAACUGCAAAGUUGCCCCAGUCAUCUGAGUGUUCAGGGUACCAGCAAGAGUCUGGGCACUAAGAGGCUGAAUGGAACCAGACACAGCUUGAGGCUGGGUACCUACAUUUACCUGAACUGGGAAGAAAGUAAUUCCUCCAUUUUCAUUGGCGAUACCUGUAAUUUAAGGAAGGGGGAAAAAAAAAGAAAAAAACACCCUAAAACAAAAGAGUUCCUGAUUUUUUUUUCUUUUUUUAAAGAAAAAAAUAUCUUGCUCUUAUUAGCAAGAUUAGCUCAUUAUUAUUUUGAUGAAACAAUUUCAUAUAUAUAUAUAUAUAUACACACUUUGGACUCAAGAUAACUGAUAUGGACAAAGGUUUUUAGUACUAAUCCAACUUUCUUCCCCAGCCAGUUCAGGAAAGCAAGCCUACUAAAUAAGUAAAUACAUUCUAUAUAUAGUCAGUGGCAGUCUGAAGAUCUCUGUGCUGACAACAUUGUGUCUCUAAAUUCUGCUCAUCUAUUCAAAAAUUCUUUCUACUAGAGGAAACCUUAAGCAUGGGUGUCCCCCCCUCUCCCCUUACUGGUUACUAAUACUCUGAUGAGAACCAGUAUGAACAAUUCCCCAGUAGCUUAUCUCUUACCUUGUACUGGUAUUGUAACAGUCUGCCCAUUAUUGGCUGUUACGGUGGCAGUUGCCACUGUAACCAGUGUCUGGCCAGGCACUGGAGUUACUGACACCGCUUCGGGAUUCAUGUUCUGCAUGGGCACGGUAUUGACCACAGGCUGCUGGGAAACUCUCACUGGAGUUCCGCCGUCAGAGUUACUGUCGUUAUCCGCAAAGAGUCUUCUCCGUGUGGGAUUGGCUGUUGGAGAACUGUAUCUGUCAUACAGAGUAGUGGGAGAGGAUGAAAGGCCUGAGGAUUAAAGAAAGAGGAUAUUUAGCUUUGUUGCAUAAUCCCUUAUUAUACAAAUACAUUAAAGAAUGCUAAAGAGAACCAAAAUGUCAUCCAAAGCUAUUCAGGAAGUGUCCUUAAAAGUUUAUGUCUCUAUUUGUCAUUUACAGAUUGCUUUUAAAGAUGAUGUAUUCUCAAAUAAUGCUAUGUUUAGUCUUCUAAGCUAAUGUAGUAUGUCUUAUUUUCCCAGAGAAAUUUUAAGAGAUAACACAUAAUUAAAUAUAUAAUGAAGCUUCCAGUCUGGUAUGACUAGAAAGCAAAAUAGCUAGAGGCCACUGUAGAGGUUUUUUUAAAAUGUAUAUACUGUUACACAGAAACUCCUGAAAACAUCCUCUCAGAACAGCAAUUUAAUCACACUGAAAUUACAACUGUAUCUGUCUUAAAUGACUGUCUUAACUAUACGAGUUGCAAUAGAAAUGCCAUUUACAAGUAAUUUUGCAGCUAAAUGUACACUGAGAUUAGAGCACCUUUCUUGCUGUACACCGUCUGAACUUAAAGCCAUGGUCUAAGAAGAAUGAAUAGAUAUUAUACUUAAAAAAAAAGUCUCACCUUUUCCUAGUCCUCCGGUUUCAGCACGAACCUCAUUUAUUCGUCUUGGUGUUAAUGGAGAACCUACAACACUGUUCCCAGCAGAUCUUUCAAAGUAGUGAGGUGGCAUUACCUAAGGUAUUUAUAUUGACAUUAGAAUGUCUGUAUCACAGACUGACUACAUAACAAACAUGAUCACGCUUCUCUUCUACAGAUUUUUGAUCAGCAAAAUGGUAGAGAGGAAAAAAAAACAAUGAAGAGUACUGAAGAUUUUACUUUAAGCAUAAUCUAGAAGCCUUGUAGUGAGAGUGUACUACUCAAGAAGAUAGAUACAGUACUGUAAUCUUUCUGUGACUGAGAUUAGGAGUCUGUACUCUUAUUUAUCAAAUGCACAUUUCUUCCAGCUCAGUAAUUUUUAAGAUCUCAAAGGGCUGUUCUAAACCUCCCUGCUUGUCUGCUUUAUUUAUGAUUCUGCUAUACUGUGUAAAUAGUGAGUAAGAAUCAUCUCAUUUGUGGACGUUACAUUUUGAAUGUCUCUCUGGAGCUAACAGUCCAUGGACAGAGUAGACUCCUUGUCUAGUCCACAGACAGACUAGAACACACUACAUUUCCAAUUUCUCUGCACUGAUUAGCUUACACUGAGAAACUGAAAUUUGGACAUGUAAAGCCUCUCCUUCGUGGUGUAAUGUCCACUGUCUAAGAGCCUGUCUGACAUAGGAAAACUAUGUGAAAUGUUAUAUAAUAUUAAAAAAAAAAAAAAAAAAAAA